rnacentral:rRNA from 1 species
ACGCUGGCGGCAGGCCUAACACAUGCAAGUCGAGCGGUAGAGAGAAGCUUGCUUCUCUUGAGAGCGGCGGACGGGUGAGUAAUGCCUAGGAAUCUGCCUGGUAGUGGGGGAUAACGUUCGGAAACGGACGCUAAUACCGCAUACGUCCUACGGGAGAAAGCAGGGGACCUUCGGGUCUUGCGCUAUCAGAUGAGCCUAGGUCGGAUUAGCUAGUUGGUGAGGUAAUGGCUCACCAAGGCGACGAUCCGUAACUGGUCUGAGAGGAUGAUCAGUCACACUGGAACUGAGACACGGUCCAGACUCCUACGGGAGGCAGCAGUGGGGAAUAUUGGACAAUGGGCGAAAGCCUGAUCCAGCCAUGCCGCGUGUGUGAAGAAGGUCUUCGGAUUGUAAAGCACUUUAAGUUGGGAGGAAGGGCAUUAACCUAAUACGUUAGUAUUUUGACGUUACCGACAGAAUAAGCACCGGCUAACUCUGUGCCAGCAGCCGCGGUAAUACAGAGGGUGCAAGCGUUAAUCGGAAUUACUGGGCGUAAAGCGCGCGUAGGUGGUUUGUUAAGUUGGAUGUGAAAUCCCCGGGCUCAACCUGGGAACUGCAUUCAAAACUGACUGACUAGAGUAUGGUAGAGGGUGGUGGAAUUUCCUGUGUAGCGGUGAAAUGCGUAGAUAUAGGAAGGAACACCAGUGGCGAAGGCGACCACCUGGACUAAUACUGACACUGAGGUGCGAAAGCGUGGGGAGCAAAC